rnacentral:rRNA from 1 species
GACGAACGCUGGCGGCGUGCUUAACACAUGCAAGUCGAACGGAAAGGCCCUGCUUUUGUGGGGUGCUCGAGUGGCGAACGGGUGAGUAACACGUGAGUAACCUGCCCUUGACUUUGGGAUAACUUCAGGAAACUGGGGCUAAUACCGGAUAGGAGCUCCUGCUGCAUGGUGGGGGUUGGAAAGUUUCGGCGGUUGGGGAUGGACUCGCGGCUUAUCAGCUUGUUGGUGGGGUAGUGGCUUACCAAGGCUUUGACGGGUAGCCGGCCUGAGAGGGUGACCGGCCACAUUGGGACUGAGAUACGGCCCAGACUCGUACGGGAGGCAGCAGGGGGGAAUAUUGCACAAUGGGCGGAAGCCUGAUGCAGCAACGCCGCGUGCGGGAUGCCGGCCUUCGGGUUGUAAACCGCUUUCGCCUGCGACGAAGCGUGAGUGACGGUAAUGGGUAAAGAAGCACCGGCUAACUACGUG